GGUACCGUAGCUCAGCUGGUUAGAGCGUAGGACUCAUAAGCCUAAGGUCGCUGGUUCGAUCCCAGCCGGUACUACCA
rnacentral:tRNA from 1 species